CAGCAGCCGCGGGAAUACGUAGGGUGCAAGCGUUAAUCGGAAUUACUGGGCGUAAAGCGUGCGCAGGCGGUUCGUUAAGACAGAUGUGAAAUCCCCGGGCUUAACCUGGGAACUGCAUUUGUGACUGGCGGGCUAGAGUAUGGCAGAGGGGGGUAGAAUUCCACGUGUAGCAGUGAAAUGCGUAGAGAUGUGGAGGAACACCGAUGGCGAAGGCAGCCCCCUGGGCCAAUACUGACGCUCAUGCACGAAAGCGUGGGGAGCAAACAGGAUUAGAGACCCCUGUAGUCCCUGUCUCUUAUAC
rnacentral:rRNA from 1 species